rnacentral:tRNA from 1 species
GGUUUGUGGUUCAGUGGUAGAGUGGUUGCCUAGCAUGCAUGAGGCACUGGGUUCUAUCCUCAGCACCA